rnacentral:rRNA from 1 species
GGCUUAGAGUUUGAUCAUGGCUCAGGGUGAACGCUAGCUACAGGCUUAACACAUGCAAGUCGAGGGGCAGCGGGAUUGAAGCUUGCUUCAAUUGCCGGCGACCGGCGCACGGGUGAGUAACGCGUAUCCAACCUUCCGCUUACUCGGGGAUAGCCUUUCGAAAGAAAGAUUAAUACCCGAUUGUAUCUUAAGCACGCAUGAGAUUAAGAUUAAAGAUUUAUCGGUAAGCGAUGGGGAUGCGUUCCAUUAGGCAGUUGGCGGGGUAACGGCCCUCCAAACCUACGAUGGAUAGGGGUUCUGAGAGGAAGGUCCCCCACAUUGGAACUGAGACACGGUCCAAACUCCUACGGGAGGCAGCAGUGAGGAAUAUUGGUCAAUGGGCGAGAGCCUGAACCAGCCAAGUAGCGUGAAGGAUGACGGCCCUACGGGUUGUAAACUUCUUUUGUGCGGGAAUAAAGGAGCCUACGUGUAGGCUUUUGCAUGUACCGUAACGAAUAAGCAUCGGCUAACUCCGUGCCAGCAGCCGCGGUAAUACGGAGGAUGCGAGCGUUAUCCGGAUUUAUUGGGUUUAAAGGGAGCGUAGACGGGUUUUUAAGUCAGCUGUGAAAGUUUGGGGCUCAACCUUAAAAUUGCAGUUGAAACUGGAGACCUUGAGUACGGUUGAGGCAGGCGGAAUUCGUGGUGUAGCGGUGAAAUGCUUAGAUAUCACGAAGAACUCCGAUUGCGAAGGCAGCCUGCUAAGCCGCCACUGACGUUGAGGCUCGAAAGUGCGGGUAUCAACAGGAUUAGAUACUCUAGUAGUCCGCACGGUAAACGAUGGAUACUCGCUGUGGCGAUAGACGUCAGCGNCAGCGAAAGCGUUAGUAUC